GAUCCGGCUCAGAUUGAACGCUGGCGGCAGGCUUAACACAUGCAAGUCGAACGGUAACAGGGAUUAGCUUGCUAAUUUGCUGACGAGUGGCGGACGGGUGAGUAAUGCUUGGGAAUCUGGCUUAUGGAGGGGGAUAACUACGGGAAACUGUAGCUAAUACCGCGUAAUAUCGGAAGAUUAAAGGGUGGGACUUUCGGGCCACCUGCCAUAAGAUGAGCCCAAGUGGGAUUAGGUAGUUGGUUAGGUAAAGGCUG
rnacentral:rRNA from 1 species